CCCCCGCGCCCCCCGCCGGGGCCCGCGCGCAGGGCCCGCAGCAGGCGCCGCAGGUGGAGCCCGACCUGGACGAGCCGCCGGGAGACGCCGAGGCCGCCGCCCCACCCUGCAGGCGGCUGGCCGAGAGUACGCCCGACCUGGUGCUGGACCUGCCCGCGCGGCCCGAGCCCGACACCGCCGACACCUUCGCGCACAACCGCGACACGCUGCGCAAGCGGCCCGCGCC